GACGAAGGAUGCAAGCGUUAUCCGGAUUCAUUGGGUUUAAAGGGUGCGUAGGCGGGUUGGUAAGUCCGUGGUGAAAUCCCCAAGCUUAACUUGGGAACUGCCGUGGAUACUAUCAAUCUUGAAUAUCGUGGAGGUAAGCGGAAUAUGUCAUGUAGCGGUGAAAUGCUUAGAUAUGACAUAGAACACCAAUUGCGUAGGCAGCUUACUACACGAUCAUUGACGCUGAGGCACGAAAGCGUGGGGAGCAAACAGG
rnacentral:rRNA from 1 species